CUUCACUCGUCUUCAGCAUCCUCAGGUGUGGUUGGAGGCUGCCCUUCAAGUGUUCGUCUCCCUUGGUCCAGCUUGGGGUACCCUUAUUGUCAUGGCAAGCCACAAUUCAUUUCACUCGAAUCUCAUAAGGUCCUGGCAUUGGCUUCAUCAUCUACCCAGAAGCUGUCGCACUACUUCCGCUUCCUCAACUGUGGUCUGUCUUCUUUUUCACAACCAUGAUGAUGAUGGCGGUUGACUCAAUGGUAAA